rnacentral:rRNA from 1 species
CCUACGGGGCGCAGCAGUGAGGAAUAUUGGUCAAUGGACGGAAGUCUGAACCAGCCAUGCCGCGUGCAGGAAGACGGCUCUAUGAGUUGUAAACUGCUUUUGUACAAGGGUAAACCCGAAUACGCGUAUCUAUCUGAAAGUACCGUACGAAUAAGGAUCGGCUAACUCCGUGCCAGCAGCCGCGGUAAUACGGAGGAUUCAAGCGUUAUCCGGAUUUAUUGGGUUUAAAGGGUGCGUAGGCGGUUUGAUAAGUUAGAGGUGAAAUGUCCGGGCUUAACUUGGGAACUGCCUCUGAUACUGUUGGUCUAGAGAGUAGAUGCGGUAGGCGGAAUGUAUGGUGUAGCGGUGAAAUGCUUAGAGAUCAUACAGAACACCGAUUGCGAAGGCAGCUUACCAAUCUAUAUCUAACGUUGAGGCACGAAAGCGUGGGGAGCAAACAGGAUUAGAUACCCCUGUAGUC